GAUGAACGCUGGCGGCGUGCCUAAUACAUGCAAGUCGAGCGAACAGACGAGGAGCUUGCUCCUCUGACGUUAGCGGCGGACGGGUGAGUAACACGUGGAUAACCUACCUAUAAGACUGGGAUCACUUCGGGAAACCGGAGCUAAUACCGGAUAACAUGUUGAACCGCAUGGUUCAACAGUGAAAGACGGUCUUGCUGUCACUUAUAGAUGGAUCCGCGCCGCAUUAGCUAGUUGGUAAGGUAACGGCUUACCAAGGCAACGAUGCGUAGCCGACCUGAGAGGGUGAUCGGCCACACUGGAACUGAGACACGGUCCAGACUCCUACGGGAGGCAGCAGUAGGGAAUCUUCCGCAAUGGGCGAAAGCCUGACGGAGCAACGCCGCGUGAGUGAAGAAGGUCUUCGGAUCGUAAAACUCUGUUAUUAGGGAAGAACAAAUGUGUAAGUAACUAUGCACGUCUUGACGGUACCUAAUCAGAAAGCCACGGCUAACUACGUG
rnacentral:rRNA from 1 species